rnacentral:rRNA from 1 species
CGAACGCUGGCGGCGUGCUUAACACAUGCAAGUCGAACGCGAAAGGGAUUUCGAUCCUGAGUAGAGUGGCGCACGGGUGAGUAACGCGUAAGUUAUCUACCCCUCCAUCUGGAAUAACUCACCGAAAGGUGUGCUAAUACCGGAUACGUUGGAAACAAGAAAGGUGGCCUCUAUUUAUACGCUACCGUGGAGGGAUGAGCUUGCGUACCAUUAGCUAGUUGGUAGGGUAAUGGCCUACCAAGGCAACGAUGGUUAGCGGGUCUGAGAGGAUGAUCCGCCACACUGGAACUGGAACACGGACCAGACUCCUACGGGAGGCAGCAGUGAGGAAUAUUGCGCAAUGGGGGAAACCCUGACGCAGCGACGCCGCGUGGAUGAUGAAGGCCCUUGGGUCGUAAAAUCCUGUCAGAUGGAAAGAAAUGUAC